AGCGAAAGCGUGGGGAGCGAACCGGAUAAUAUACCCUGGUAGUCCACGCCGUAAACGAUGAGUGCUAAGUGUUAGGGGGUUUCCGCCCCUUAGUGCUGCAGCUAACGCAUUAAGCACUCCGCCUGGGGAGUACGGUCGCAAGACUGAAACUCAAAGGAAUUGACGGGGGCCCGCACAAGCGGUGGAGCAUGUGGUUUAAUUCGAAGCAACGCGAAGAACCUUACCAGGUCUUGACAUCCUCUGACAACCCUAGAGAUAGGGCUUUCCCUUCGGGGACAGAGUGACAGGUGGUGCAUGGUUGUCGUCAGCUCGUGUCGUGAGAUGUUGGGUUAAGUCCCGCAACGAGCGCAACCCUUGAUCUUAGUUGCCAGCAUUCAGUUGGGCACUCUAAGGUGACUGCCGGUGACAAACCGGAGGAAGGUGGGGAUGACGUCAAAUCAUCAUGCCCCUUAUGACCUGGGCUACACACGUGCUACAAUGGACAGAACAAAGGGCUGCAAGACCGCAAGGUUUAGCCAAUCCCAUAAAUCUGUUCUCAGUUCGGAUCGCAGU
rnacentral:rRNA from 1 species